UCUCCAGCUGGAUGCGACCAUGUAGAAACGGAGAGGUGGAGUUGGAGAAGUGGAAGUGAAAGCUACAGCCUCAGACACGGGUUCCACUUGGGCUUCAAUGCACCGGGAGAAUGGAGUGGUGGGAGUGGGGAUGGACUCGACGGCGCAUUAGUGUCUCCACUAGGAACUGUGGUUGAUGCCCCACGCGGUGUAAGCACACCCUCAGUGUUGUCACACACACACACACACACACACACACACACCUUCAGUGUUGUCACACACACACACACACACACACACAAUGGGUUAUUCCAAAACGGAUGCCCCCUCCCCGAUGGUACCUCCCGGAGAGCACGGUCCUACCUCUGCGCCCCUCAGUGGUACCGCCCAGGACAGAACUGUUCCAUCUCGCGCGCCCCUGGUGUGAACGGAAAACAGCUGGUCGGUGCAGAUGCCCGUGGGCCGUUCCAGGCUGGUCCCCAAAGGCUGGGAGGGCAAAGUUACGAUGAAAACCCCACAACUCGCUGCAGUCUUGGACCCGGGAAAAAGUCUUCCUAAGCUGAAAUUUGCCUCCCUGCGUUGGUCACCCUAGCGUUAGAACCCCCCCUGGGCAUUGUGCUGGCUUGUGCUUCCCUGGGUAAUGCAGAAUGAGUCUAGUUGGGGAACCCAGAUACAGUCCCCCAAGGGGCAGGUGGGAUGGAGCUCCCGACUGGGGUCCAAAGGCCUAAUGUGGGGCAGGCCUCUGUCCUUGACUGUGAGUAAUAGCGAAAGGGACAGCAGGACCUUUGGUUCUGUUAGGGAAGGGGCCAUUUCCCAGGGUCCCCCAGGACAUUGAGUAGGUGAGAUAAAGACCAUGGACUUCGUCACCACCCGGUCACCCCUGAACAUGUUCCCUAGCAGAAUCCUCAGCAUGUCUAGCUAUGCCUCUCUCCACAACUUUGCCUUUGUUUAUUCAUUCUCCCUUUCCUUCUCUCCAAAUUGCCUGUCAGGCACUAUUAUGGGUGUUAGGAAUACAGCCGUUUGGAAAGAGACAAAAACGCUGGCCCUCGUGGAGCUUGCAUUCUAUUGGGAUCAUACAGCACAAAAACACUGGGGAAGCGUCUUCAGCCCUGUUGACUGGACAGCGGAGCACACCUUGGAGACUGGGUUGGACUGGCCCUCCAGAGCUCAGCGCCCAGCCCCUGCACUACAAACUCCUGCCCAUCAACCAGAGCUCCUCAGCGUGAGAACAGUGACUGGGCUUUGGGAGUCCGUCUCUCUGUGUCCCGCAAGAGCCAGAGCAGGUGGUCUCCAGGUGGACCGCACAGAGUGGCCCUGGAUUCCUCGCCUUUCUCGUCCCAUGAUCAAUCGACUGUCCCUUCGCAGGCUCCUGGUUUAUUCGAAUCUGUAGGAGAUGGGCGUGGCCAAAAUGGGACUAGAGUGGCCUCCAGGAAGUCUGAAAAGUGGGUGUGCGCCCGAGGGCCGGGAUUGGGGGCUGGGCCGCCAAGACAGCAUCAUCCCCUCCUCUGUCAAAGGCUGAGGCUGAUCACCCUGGGGUGGGGCAGAUUUUAUUUUCCCUCCAUACACAGUAUUUGUAUUGUUAUCAAAUAGAUUCCCCUCCCUGGUGGGACCUCCGGUAGUGGUGCAUUCCACCUUUGCACCCCUGAAAUGGUACCUUCAGGCAGGGAACAGUUCCACCCUCACACCUCAUCCUCACCUCCCACCCCCAGGAGGUGAGACCCCGGAGGGGCUGUUUUUCACGUAUGUCCGGUGGAAUAUUCUGGUGGUUCUAAUGCUCAUGUGAAGCUUUAGCGUGCAUCAGAAUCCCUCAGAGUUUCUGGUUCAGUGGGUCCUCCGGGGUGGGGCCCGAGGAAGCUCAGCCUCCCUCCCCAACAACUAAGUGGAGUCUGACUCCUGUCUCCCUCCACCACAUUACCAGCGCACUGUUCCUUCCCUUCUCUCUCUCCCUCCUUGCCCCCAACACACCCAGACAAACAGUCUUAGCGCCAGACCCUGAAGAUCUUGAAGGGAGCAAAGGUCUAAGCAUCCAGUCCACUGCAGCAGAGCUCCUGCCCCAAGAAAGGCGUGAGGAUGCCAGUAAACCAGCUUUUCUUCUCCCGCACCACUGAUGGACAGCCUCGUGGCAGCAUCUGUCAAAGUGAAAAAUCCCUACGAUGCUAGGUCCGUGAGGGCAAGGACGUUUUUCUGUCCAGUAUCCUCAGUCUCCCCAGUGCCCAGCACAUAGUAGGCACUCACAGGCUGCUUAGUGAAUGACUGAACUCUGACCCAGUGAUUCCACUUGAAAGAAUGUAUAAUAAACACACAUGCACACACA
rnacentral:lncRNA from 1 species